rnacentral:rRNA from 1 species
UACGGAGGGGGCUAGCGUUGUUCGGAAAUACUGGGCGUAAAGCGAACGUAGGCGGCUUAGCAAGUCAGGGGUGAAAUCCCAGAGCUCAACUCUGGAACUGCCUUUGAAACUGCUUCGCUUGAAUCCUGGAGAGGCGAGUGGAAUUCCGAGUGUAGAGGUGAAAUUCGUAGAUAUUCGGAAGAACACCAGUGGCGAAGGCGACUCGCUGGACAGGUAUUGACGCUGGGGUUCGAAAGCGUGGGGAGCAAACAGGAUUAGAUA